CGGUAAACUCUUGCUUGCAAGAGAUACGAGUGGCGCACGGGUGAGUAACGCGUAUGCAACCUACCCUUAACUGGGGGAUAGCCCGAAGAAAUUCGGAUUAAUACCCCAUAAUAUCACAUUUUCGCAUGAUUUUGUGAUUAAAGUUCCGGCGGUUAAGGAUGGGCAUGCGUGACAUUAGAUAGUUGGUAAGGUAACGGCUUACCAAGUCCGCGAUGUCUAGGGGGUCUGAGAGGAUGAUCCCCCACACUGGUACUGAGACACGGACCAGACUCCUGCGGGAGGCAGCAGUAGGGAAUAUUGGGCAAUGGACGAAAGUCUGACCCAGCCAUGCCGCGUGCAGGAUGACGGCCUUAUGGGUUGUAAACUGCUUUUGUAUAGGAAGAAACCCCAGAACGUGUUCUGGGUUGACGGUACUAUAAGAAUAAGGACCGGCUAACUCCGUGCCAGCAGCCGCGGUAAUACGGAGGGUCCAAGCGUUAUCCGGAUUCAUUGGGUUUAAAGGGUGCGUAGGCGGAAUAAUAAGUCAGUGGUGAAAUCCUACAGCUCAACUGUAGAACUGCCGUUGAAACUAUUAUUCUUGAGUACAGUGGAAGUGGGCGGAAUGUGUCAUGUAGCGGUGAAAUGCAUAGAUAUAACACAGAACACCGAUUGCGAAGGCAGCUCACUAUACUGUAACUGACGCUGAGGCACGAAAGCGUGGGGAGCGAACAGGAUUAGAUACCCUGGUAGUCCACGCCGUAAACGAUGAUUACUCGAUGUUGGCGAUACACUGUCAGCGUCUAAGCGAAAGUGUUAAGUAAUCCACCUGGGGAGUACGGUCGCAAGAUUGAAACUCAAAGGAAUUGACGGGGGCCCGCACAAGCGGAGGAGCAUGUGGUUUAAUUCGACGAUACGCGAGGAACCUUACCUGGGCUUAAAUGUAGAAUGAUCGUCUGGGAAACCAGUCUUUUCUUCGGAACAAUCUACAAGGUGCUGCAUGGUUGUCGUCAGCUCGUGCCGUGAGGUGUCGGGUUAAGUCCCUUAACGAGCGCAACCCCUAUCUCUUGUUGCUAACAGGUAAUGCUGAGGACUCUGGAGAGACUGCCUACGCAAGUAGUGAGGAAGGUGGGGAUGACGUCAAAUCAGCACGGCCCUUAUGUCCAGGGCUACACACGUGCUACAAUGGUCAGUACAGAGGGCUGCUACUUGGUGACAAGAUGCUAAUCUCGAAAACUGAUCUCAGUUCGGAUCGAAGUCUGCAACUCGACUUCGUGAAGCUGGAUUCGCUAGUAAUCGCAUAUCAGCCAUGAUGCGGUGAAUACGUUCCCGGGCCUUGUACACACCGCCCGUCGAGCCACGGAAGUUGGGGGUGCCUGAAGUCUGUU
rnacentral:rRNA from 1 species